rnacentral:rRNA from 1 species
GACGAACGCUGGCGGCGUGCUUAACACAUGCAAGUCGAACGGAAAGGCCCUGCUUUUGUGGGGUGCUCGAGUGGCGAACGGGUGAGUAACACGUGAGUAACCUGCCCUUGACUGUGGGAUAAAUUAAGGAAACUGGGACUAAUACCGGAUAGGAGCUCCUGAUGCAUGGUGGGGGUUGGAAAGUUUCGGCGGUUGGGGAUGGACUCGCGGCGGAUCAGCUUGUUGGUGGGGUAGUGGCUUACCAAGGCUUUGACGGGUAGCCGGCCUGAGAGGGUGACCGGCCACAUUGGGACUGAGAUACGUCCCAGACUCCUACGGGAGGCAGCAGUGGGGAAUAUUGCACAAUGGGCGGAAGCCUGAUGCAGCAACGCCGCGUGCGGGAUGACGGCCUUCGGGUUGUAAACCGCUUUCGCCUGUGACGAAGCGUGAGUGACGGUAAUGGGUAAAUAAGCACCGGCUAACUACGUG